UACAGAGGUCCCGAGCGUUGUUCGGAUUCACUGGGCGUAAAGGGUGCGUAGGUGGCAUGGAAAGUUUGAUGUGAAAGCUCGGGGCUUAACCCUGAAAUGGCAUUGAAUACUGCUGUGCUGGAGGUUUGGAGGGGGGACUGGAAUUCUUGGUGUAGCAGUGAAAUGCGUAGAUAUCAAGAGGAACACCAGUGGCGAAGGCGAGUCCCUGGACAACACCUGACACUGAGGCACGAAAGCUAGGGGAGCAAACAGG
rnacentral:rRNA from 1 species